rnacentral:rRNA from 1 species
AUUGAACGCUGGCGGCAGGCUUAACACAUGCAAGUCGAGCGGAGAUGAGGUGCUUGCACCUUAUCUUAGCGGCGGACGGGUGAGUAAUGCUUAGGAAUCUGCCUAUUAGUGGGGGACAACAUUCCGAAAGGAAUGCUAAUACCGCAUACGUCCUACGGGAGAAAGCAGGGGAUCUUCGGACCUUGCGCUAAUAGAUGAGCCUGAGUCGGAUUAGCUAGUUGGUGGGGUAAGGGCCUACCAAGGCGACGAUCUGUAGCGGGUCUGAGAGGAUGGUCCGCCACACUGGGACUGAGACACGGCCCAGACUCCUACGGGAGGCAGCAGUGGGGAAUAUUGGACAAUGGGGGGAACCCUGAUCCAGCCAUGCCGCGUGUGUGAAGAAGGCCUUAUGGUUGUAAAGCACUUUAAGCGAGGAGGAGGCUACUGAGACUAAUACUCUUGGAUAGUGGACGUUACUCGCAGAAUAAGCACCGGCUAACUCUGUGCCAGCCGCCGCCGUAA